CAGCAUGCUAGAAAGCAGAGAAUGGAAAUAAGGUAGCAAGAAGGAAUAAAGAGAAGAGAAUGAAGUUGGUCGGUAAUAAAAUGGAAAACUGUUAAACACACAUCCAUCUUCUGAACAGUGUUAUCCUAAGGCCAAGAGGAAGCUUUCAAAACAGGAGCCCAUCCAAUCGCAAGCCUUUCUCUGGACUCACUCUCCUCAACCACAGACCCAGCUACUAAAGAAGAUAGUUGUGGAACAGGGCGGCGCUGUAAGAAGUGCCUGAAGCCUGGACCACUCUUUGGUGCUAUGAAUCAGAAGAGUGGCAUGGCAGAGAUGGUGGCCCAGAGGGGACACAAGAGGGCCUUCAAUGUGCACGUCAUGGUUUUGGCUGCAAAAGUGUGCUCAAUUUACAAAAUUUCACUGAGAUGUACAUUUAUGAUUUGUACACUUUUCUGUAUAUA